rnacentral:rRNA from 1 species
AAAAACAUGUCUUUUUGAUUAUAAUUUAAGGUCAGGCCUGCCCAAUGAUUAUUUUAAAUGGCUGCAGUAUUUUGACUGUACAAAGGUAGCAUAAUCAUUAGUUUCUUAAUUAGAAGCUGGAAUGAACGGUUCGAUGAAAAAUUAACUGUCUCGAUUUAAUUAAAUUAGAAUUUUAUUUUUAAGUGAAAAAGCUUAAAUUUUAUAUAAAGACGAGAAGACCCUAUAGAGUUUUAUAUUUUUAUAAUUUUUAAUUUUAUGUUUUUUUUCUUAAUUAUUAAUAAAAAUAUUUUGUUGGGGUGAUAGAAAAAUUUAUAUAACUUUUUUUUAUUUUUACAUUAAUUAGUGAGUUUAUGAUCCUUUGUUAAGAUUAAAAGAUUAAAUUACCUUAGGGAUAACAGCGUUAUUUUUUUUGAAAGUUCUUAUUGAUAAAAAAGUUUGCGACCUCGAUGUUGGAUUAAAAUUUAUUUUUGGUGUAGAAGCUAAAAAAUUAGGUCUGUUCGACCUUUA